rnacentral:rRNA from 1 species
AUCGAACGCUGGCGGCAGGCCUAACACAUGCAAGUCGAGCGAGCGGCGGACGGGUGAGUAAUGUAUGGGGACUGCCCGACAGAGGGGGAUAACUACUGGAAACGGUAGCUAAUACCGCAUACUAUAGGAUAACCCAUAUGGGAUUAGCUAUUCUGUGAGGUAAUGGCUUACCUAGGCGACGAUCCCUAGCUGGUCUGAGAGGAUGAUCAGGAACACUGCGACUUAGAGACGGCCCAGACUCCUACGGAUGCAGCAGUGGGGAAUAUUGCACAAUGGGCGAAAGCCGGAUGCAGCCAUGCAGCGUGUAUGAAGAGGGCCCUAGGGUUGUAGAGUGCUUUCAGUCGGGAGGCGUUACCGACAGAAGAAGCACCGGCUAACUCCGUGCCAGCAGCCGCGGUAAAC